rnacentral:lncRNA from 1 species
AGAGAGCGUCCUGUAGGGAAACCACACUCCCUGGCCACGGUGACCCGCCGCUCUGGGGCUUUUCCCAGCUUGCUUUGAUGAGGAAGUGAAGGCACCGGGCCGCUGAGCGUCUCGCCAAGUAUUACUUCCGGUGCAACGGGGGCUCGGCCCCUCCCCUCCAGAUGUCCAGCGCAGGCUUCCUCCUGUGACAACCACGCGCAUUUCUCCCAUCCUAUCGCCAUCCAUUACGGUUCCUGCUACUGAUCUCUCUGGGAGAUCUGUCUUCAGUCGGGAACUCACAAAGCCUUGUUGUCAGUGGUGUGGAAGAAAUUCAGUUAGAAGCGUCCCCAAGUACAUCUCUGGACCCAUCCUUGGCGGGCAGGAGGGUGAGUUCCCUUUCGCCGGAUACCAACGAGCGACAUCACACAGAUUCUUUAAAUGUUAGAGCGGGACCCUGGGUCGUAUAAGCCCAGCCUCUCAUGGCACUGACACCCGCAAGGGUAACCUCCUGAGCCCCCCAUGAGGAUAGACAGGUUCUGGCUCCUGUGGCUGACCUGUCCUUCCUCUUACAGAAU